UGAUUGUCUUACAUUGGUAGAGGAAUCCUUCUAUUGAAACUUCAGAAAAGAUGAAGGAUAAACCUGUAUACACAAUACAGAAGAAUUGGUAUGAAUCAAUUCCAUAUUGAAGAAAGAAUCGAAUAUCCAUUGAUCAAACCAUUCACUCCAUAAUCUGAUAAAUCUUUUGAAGAACUGAUUAAUCGGACGAGAAUAAAGAUAGAGUCCCGUUCUACAUGUCAAUACCGGCAACAAUGAAAUUUAUAGUAAGGA
rnacentral:tRNA from 1 species